GAUGAACGCUGGCGGCGUGCCUAAUACAUGCAAGUCGAGCGAACGGACGAGAAGCUUGCUUCUCUGAUGUUAGCGGCGGACGGGUGAGUAACACGUGGAUAACCUACCUAUAAGACUGGGAUAACUUCGGGAAACCGGAGCUAAUACCGGAUAAUAUUUUGAACCGCAUGGUUCAAAAGUGAAAGACGGUCUUGCUGUCACUUAUAGAUGGAUCCGCGCUGCAUUAGCUAGUUGGUAAGGUAACGGCUUACCAAGGCAACGAUGCGUAGCCGACCUGAGAGGGUGAUCGGCCACACUGGAACUGAGACACGGUCCAGACUCCUACGGGAGGCAGCAGUAGGGAAUCUUCCGCAAUGGGCGAAAGCCUGACGGAGCAACGCCGCGUGAGUGAUGAAGGUCUUCGGAUAGUAAAACUCUGUUAUUAGGGAAGAACAUAUGUGUAAGUAACUGUGCACAUCUUGACGGUACCUAAUCAGAAAGCCACGGCUAACUACGUG
rnacentral:rRNA from 1 species